rnacentral:misc_RNA from 1 species
GAUGAAGAACGUAGCGAAAUGCGAUAAGUAAUGUGAAUUUCAGAAUUCAGUGAAUCAUCGAAUCUUUGAACGCACAUUGCGCCCCUUGGUAUUCCGAGGGGCAUGCCUGUUCGAGCGUCAUUAUAACCCCUCAAGCUCAGCUUGGUGUUGGGGCCUGCUGCACUGGCAGCCCUUAAAAUCAGUGGCGGCGCCAUCUGGCUCUAAGCGUAGUAAUUCUUCUCGCUAUGGAGUCCUGGUGGAUGCUUGCCAUCAACCCCCAAUUUUUCUAUGGUUGACCUCGGAUCAGGUAGGGAUACCCGCUGAACUUAAGCAUAUCAAUAAGCGGAGGA